UGAAUGCCAGAACCCUGCAUGACAAUGAGGGUAGCAAUGGCCUGUGUGUCCUCCUAGGAACAGAGCCCAGCAGCCGGCAUUUAAGUUACCCAGGAGCACCAGCACUAAAGGAUCUAGUGUGAGCAGUGGGCUCCAGGAGAGGGGGCAGCCUUGAGAACCAGAGCCACUUAGGGGAACGUGAGGAGCUCAGACUCAAGGCUGAGGCUGUAUGUGUAGAUAGUUGAAGUCUGAAGGAAGUGGAAGGGAAGAAAACGUUCUGGUCUUCCUGAUGAAAAAUCAGUCAAGAGAAGAAGAAAGGACAUGGAGGGAGAGGUGAGCCUGUAUCAGAGCCUCAGGUGUUCGUGGGCCACUGUCACAGGAGGCAAGAGAAAGGAGCCAUCAGAAUCUACUGUCCAAGGGGUGGCUCAGCAGCUAAGAGCACAUACCACUACUGUAGAGAGCCCGUGUUCACUUCCCAGCUCCCAUGCUGGGUGGCUCCCUACCACCCCUAACUCCA
rnacentral:lncRNA from 1 species